rnacentral:rRNA from 1 species
UACGUAGGGUGCAAGCGUUAAUCGGAAUUACUGGGCGUAAAGCGUGCGCAGGCGGUUUUGUAAGUCUGAUGUGAAAUCCCCGGGCUCAACCUGGGAAUUGCAUUGGAGACUGCAAGGCUAGAAUCUGGCAGAGGGGGGGUAGAAUUCCACGUGUAGCAGUGAAAUGCGUAGAGAUGUGGAGGAACACCGAUGGCGAAGGCAGCCCCCUGGGCCAGCACUGGACGCUCAUGCACGAA